rnacentral:rRNA from 1 species
AUUGAACGCUGGCGGCAGGCCUAACACAUGCAAGUCGAGCGAGCGGCGGACGGGUGAGUAAUAUAUGGGGAUCUGCCCGAUAGAGGGGGAUAACUACUGGCAACGGUGGCUAAUACCGCAUACUAUCGGAUGAACCCAUAUGGGAUUAGCUAGUAGGUGGGGUAAAGGCUGACCUAGGCGACGAUGUCUAGCUUGUCUGAGAGGAUGAUGAGGAACACUGGGACUGAGACACGGCCCAGACGCCUACGGGAGGAAGCAGUGGGGGAUAUUGCACAAUGGGCGCAAGCCGGAUGCAGCCAUGCCGCGUGUAUGAAGAAGGCCUUAGGGUUGUAAAGGACUUUCAGCGGGGAGGCGUUACCCGCAGAAGAAGCACCGGCUAACUCCGUGCCAGCAGCCGCGGUAAUUC